CUAGCGCUAAAAUAUCUCCUUUCUCUUGCACUUCCACUGUCGCCGGAGGAAAACACCAAGGAUUGAGCUAGAUUUUGGGGUCAUCGGAGCUUGACUCAACUCGAUUAAGAUAUGGUUCAUCUUCAAAGUGAUAAUAAAUACCAUGGAGUAACCGACUCAAGAGAAGCCGAUUUAGAAGCAAGUGAGGCGUGACCCAAAUCUGAUGCAUUCAAGUCAAAGUUAUCUAAAAGAAUCGGUUCAAACCUUGUAUUCUUCUAUGAGAAGAACAAGGUGUAAUCUCCUGGCUCUCCUUAGCAUGCUGCAUUAUCUGAUUAGCACCUUCAGAUAAUUGUAAGUUCCCCUUCAUUGCAUUACCAUCUAUAUUUGAAUCUGAAUUGCAUCCUUCCUUGGAUUCCUUUUCAAAUUCAGUUCCUUCUUUUUCAUUCACUCUAUCUCCCCAUUUUUUAGGAUUGUUAUUGUCUUGUCCUUUUUUCUCUUAUGUUUGUUGUUUCUCUUGUAUUGUAGUCUCCUCCUUAUUGUUAAGAACUUUACCAAAUGAUUUUUCCACCCAUGGUUUUGUAGAUUCCUGAUUAUCUUUGUGUUGUGUUUCCUCUGCCUGAUGAUGUGAUCAAGCAUCUGGUACUUUACUCACAUCAUGUUCAGUGCUUCAGUUUCAUGUUGCUUCUCCUCAUUACUGCCUUCUUCUUCUUCUUUUGACACGGCAUCAAACUUGUUUUGAGCGACAAUAUGUGAACCUGCAUCAUUACCCUUUUGAACAACUGCUUCACCUUUUCUUCAAUUUUCAUCCACAGACUUCUUAGCAUUCCAUUGUGCCAAAUCACCAACAACUUUUCCACUAGAUAGCAUUCUAGGUGUGAAAUUUUCCUCUUCUCUGCUUCACCCUUUCUUCAC